rnacentral:rRNA from 1 species
AUGGAUCCCCGAGGUGGCAUAACACAAAUCGAGCUGGAGUACAUGGUACACGAUGAAGAUGCAGAGCCCAUUGCCCUGCCACUGCCACUUUUGGAGAAAAUCACAAAUUAUUUUUCUCACGAGUUGAUAAUUGGAAGAGGUGGCUUCGCGGUGGUUUAUAAGGUAUCUCGGGUGCUGCUGCUGCUGCAGGCAGUGCUUGAUAAUGGCAUUGUCACUGUGAAGAGGCUGUUCGAUACGCACAUGCAUGAGGAACAAUUCCAGGGUGAGGUGGAAUGUCUCAUGAAGGUGAAGCACAAAAACAUUGUACGAUUUCUUGGAUAUUGCGCCGACACGCAAGGGAACAUUUCAGACUACAAAGGGAAAAUGGUUAUGGCAGAUGUGCAGCAGCGGUUGCUCUGCUUUGAAUAUCUACCUAAAGGAAGUCUUGAUGGUUAUAUAACAGAUUCACCCGGAGAACUUAACUGGAGAAAGCGAUACGAUAUAAUAAAGGGUAUCUGUGAAGGGUUAAAUUAUCCUCACCAGAACAAUAUUCUGCACUUGGAUCUAACACCCGGAAAUAUAUUAUUGGAUGAGGAUAUGAUGCCGAAAAUUACUGAUUUCGGAUUGUCAAGGUGUUUUGAGGAAGACCAAACAGGGGUCAUUACUAAAAAUGUGGCCGGAACAAGGGGAUAUUUGGCGCCGGAAUGCUAUAACAAGGAAAUCGUACUCGCGCACAAGUUUGACUUAUAUAGUCUUGGUGUUAUAAUGAUAGAGAUACUGACCGGAAAGAAGGGGUGUCAAGUUACUAUUGAGAAUGUACUUCAAAUUUGGAAUAAUACGGUGUUGGAUGCACUGCAGUGGGGUCAAAUACGAGUAUGUGCGAAGAUUGGGAUGGAGUGCACAGAAGUCGAUCCGGCAAAGAGACCAGCUAGUAUGAAGCACAUAAUGGAUUGGCUUGCUGAAAUAGAAUGUAGUACGCAUGUAAUCCCAGCAGGUGGGACAAGAGAGCUUCUUCUCGUUCACCCGUCCGCGCUUUGCUUCCCCUUUGAGCCCAACAAGGCUAUCACAUGCCCGCUGCAGCUAACAAAUAACACCGAUAAGCAUGUUGCAUUUAGGCUUAUGGAUAAUAGCAUGGAGUCUUCCUUCCUAAGGCUGCCAUUGUAUGACGUUAUGCCACCUAACACACCUUACACUCUCAUUGUGACAACACAAGAGAAAGAAGAUCUACCACGAAAGUAUAUCAUAGAUGUGAUCCUCCAAAGUGCUACAUUAAUAUUGGGGGAUGAUGAUCAUAUAAACACUUUCCGAAGCCAGCCAGACAAGUUUUUUCAAGAGACGGGGAAUGAUAUACAGGUGGUGAAACGGAAAGCACUUUAUACCUUGACACACAUCGCAACGUCAUUCUCUAAGCCAAUUUUGUCCACAGUCAAGGUACACGUCUACAUAGAAAUGCAUCUCAGUUGCUUGGACACAAACCGAGCCAAGCAGUGGAUAAUAAUAGGAGAUGAAAAUGGACACGUUGGCUUUUGGGACUAUCCGACACAGAAAAAAGUGGAUGCGCUUAAAGUCUCAGCGAGUCGUGUUACGUGCAUUAGAUUCAUUGAACGGAAGCAAUGGAUUGUUGCUGGGACAGAAGAUGGGUAUCUCCAUGUGUACAGCUAUGAAACAAGAAUUCAGAAGAUCACGAGUUUAAGAGUUGGUGCCAUUGAGAAUCUGGAGUCACGGGCUGCUCAUACCCAUCUGGCCAUCCAUCCAACCCAGCCAUAUUUGUUGUCGGUGUAUGGUUUUAAAGUGAAACUUUGGGACUGGGACGUGGGCUGGGAGUGCAUACAAACAUUUGAGAAUGAAGAGCUUAUGACAAUACUUCGAGUCGCAUUUAACCCAAAUGACACAUUUGCGACUGCUUCGAUGGAUUGCACAGUGGAGGUUUGGAGUCUUGAUUCUCCCGAAUUUAUAUACACUCUAGUAGGGCAUUCGAGCAUAGUGAAUUGCCUGGAUUUCUUCACAUGUGAUGAUCAGGAGUAUUUGGUUACUGGCUCACAUGAUCAGACUGCAAAGAUAUGGGAUCUGCGGAAGAUGAUGUGUAUACAUACACUUGAGGCUUUCGUAUCUCCAGUAAUGUCUCUCUUGUACCAACCCGAUCUUCAGAUUCUAAUUACAGGUUCAAAAGAUGGCGCUAUUUAUUUGUGGAGCACCACAAACUGCGGGAAUUAUUCAUGCCCCCCGACUCUUAAUAGAGUCAUCAAGAUUGGUUGUGUUGGAGCUGUCUACCAUAUCGCAUGUGUGAUGGGAGGGCUUGUGAUUGGAAAAGAAAAUGCAGUGGCAAUUAUGGAUAUCGAUGAUGUGAAUUAUCAGGAGCAACCAACUGAUAAAAGUGAGCAGCAAUUAAGUGCAUGCACGACACACCAUGCCGGAGACAUGUCUAAGGAAAAGGCAGGGUCCAUCAGCAAGCUACUUGAUGUCCACCCGCUGGAACUCCGCUUCCCCUAUUGUCCCAAUGAGCCUAUCCCUUGCUCACUGCACCUAACAAACAACACAGAUGAAAAUGUGGCAUUUAGACUUGUAGACAAGAGUGGCAAGUCCCCAUGGUGCUUCGCAAAGUUGCCGUUGUGCGGCAUUGUACCUCACGGAUCCACUUACACUUUGACUGUGACAAUGAAGGAGGAGAUGAAGCUAAAGGAAGAGACAGACUUUGAUCUCGUUAUUCAGAGCAGUUUAUUGGGAGAUAAGUACAUCGAGGUAUUCAAUGACCAAUCUGAGUCUGAUACAUUUUUCAAAGAAGCCAAACAGUUUGGGAAUAUGGUGCAUGAAGUGACACUGAAAGCUGUUUAUGUGCAGUACGGAGAGAUCACAUCUGAGAAUAUAUCUGUGAAGUACAAUCCUGACUCUUUGUGGUCCCUGGAUGCACAUCCAACAGAACCUUGGAUUUUAACAGGUCAUAAUAGUGGAUAUGCUCGCAUAUGGAACAAUGAGAUGAAGUUCCUGAUUAAUUCGUUUAAAGUCUCAGAUCAGGAUGCAGUAAGCUGCGUCAAAUUUAUUGCAAGAAGGCAACUGAUUGUAGCUAUGACAGAUCGUGCUCACCUCCAUGUGUAUGACUGUUCAUGUGUAACAAAAAUCGAAAAGAUCAGUUUUGAACGUGGUGAUUACGGGACCAGUACACUACUAGCUGUUCAUCCGAUCCUACCAUAUGUGUUGGCAUCAGGUUUAAUGCUUUUAAACUGGGACCUGAGCUGGAAGACCACACGAAUAUUUGAGUCUGAGGCUGUCACAGCAGAGGCAGUUGCGUUCAACACAAGGGACACCAACAGUUUUGCGAGUGGGUCUUAUGAUGGCGAAGUACAGGUUUGGAGGUUCGAUUCCUCCGACCCGGAAUAUUCUUUGCUUGGACAUUUGAAGAAGGUGACAUGCCUUGAUUUUGUUACAUGUGGAGAUCAACAGUAUUUGAUCAGUGGAUCUUAUGACGCCACUGUCAAGAUCUGGGACUUGCAGAAAAGGGAGUGCAUUUGUACGCUGGAAGCUAUGUCGCCAGUUCAUUGUGUCCUUGCCCAUCCAAACCUUCCAGUUAUAAUUACAGGAACAGAACAUGGCAUCAUUCAUCUGUGGAACUCCACUGAUUUCAGGCUAAAGAGAACCAUUAGCUUAGGUGGCGGUGGACCUGUUAUCACUCUCGGAUGUUUGAUGGGUUCACCAAGGGUUGUGAUUGGACAAGAGAACGCAUUUUUUGCCAUGGAUAUCCACGAUGACUGGGGCGGCCAACCCCAGGGGAGAGAUAAUUUCAUUGGUUUGCUUGGUUCCUCUCUGGAGGAAGGGUUGCAUGCCAAGAGACAUAGACAGUGGUGA